rnacentral:rRNA from 1 species
GGGGGUGACGUUGCUCGGAUUUUUGGGCGUAAGCGCGCGCAGGCGGUCUUUUAAGUCUGAUGUGAAAGCCCCCGGCUUAACCGGGGAGGGUCAUUGGAAACUGGAAGACUGGAGUGCAGAAGAGGAGAGUGGAAUUCCACGUGUAGCGGUGAAAUGCGUAGAUAUGUGGAGGAACACCAGUGGCGAAGGCGACUCUCUGGUCUGUAACUGACGCUGAGGCUCGAAAGCGUGGGGAGCAAACAGGAUUAGAUACCCUGGUAGUCCACGCCGUAAACGAUGAGUGCUAAGUGUUAGGGGGUUUCCGCCCCUUAGUGCUGCAGCUAACGCAUUAAGCACUCCGCCUGGGGAGUACGACCGCAAGGUUGAAACUCAAAGGAAUUGACGGGGGCCCGCACAAGCGGUGGAGCAUGUGGUUUAAUUCGAAGCAACGCGAAGAACCUUACCAGGUCUUGACAUCCUUUGACCACUCUGGAGACAGAGCUUUCCCUUCGGGGACAAAGUGACAGGUGGUGCAUGGUUGUCGUCAGCUCGUGUCGUGAGAUGUUGGGUUAAGUCCCGCAACGAGCGCAACCCUUGAUUUUAGUUGCCAGCAUUUAGUUGGGCACUCUAAAGUGACUGCCGGUGCCAGCCGGAAGAAGGUGGGGAUGACGUCAAAUCAUCAUGCCCCUUAUGACCUGGGCUACACACGUGCUACAAUGGAUAGUACCAACGAUCGCGAAGCCGCCAAGUGCAGCUAAUCCCAUAAAACUAUUCUCAGUUCGGAUUGGAAGCUGCAACUCGCCUACAUGAAGCCGGAAUCGCUAGUAAUCGUGGAUCAGCAUGCCACGGUGAAUACGUUCCCCGGGCCUUGUACACACCGGCCGUCACACCACGAGAGUUUGUAACACCCGAAGUCCGUAGAGUAACCUUUAUGGAACCAGCCGCCGAAAGUGGGACAGAUAAUUGGGUGAUCGAUAGAAGGGGGCGAAAAAAAAAAAAAAAAGAGACGACAAUCCCCCGUUUUGUUAUUGGGA